rnacentral:lncRNA from 1 species
GGCUUAGAUUCCGCAAUGGAUUAUGGCCGCUCGACUGCCUCCCGCUUGCGGCUCUGGCCUGGCGGCUGGGGAGAAUCUGCUGCUUGCUGCGAACCAGGAACUUUCAUGUUCAGCAGCCAGAUUGUGUUUUUAGUUCUCACAACAGCCCUUUGAGGGAGGAGCCAUCAGCACUAGUUUAUGGACGGCAGGUGGACCUCCCUGAUCAAGCGGCUGGUCCAUUGUUAUGCUCUUCCUGCCUUAGUGAGACAAGAAAUAAGAACCACUUGAAGCUUCUGCCAAAAAACAGAGACUUUCUUCUCCCAAGACAAAGAAGCAUAAAACAUAAGGGAGACGGAACUGCACCUGCUUUGUGCCUUGAUGCUCAGGCAAAGAGAACACGAAGAUAUUCGAGGUUCCAAGUGGUCAGGUCCUGUUUUCUCCCCUCUCGGAAGAAGGGUCGGGGUUGGAGGGAAUGCGAAUGGAGGGAGAGGUGGCAAACAGUUGCAAGUUCUCUGACAAAGCAGCUCCCUCAGAUUCCCCUUCCUCUCCUCAGAGUGGACUUUGAGGAGAGGCUUUAGAGAGCAGUGAUUUGUCAGCAUUGCCAUCAAGACUGCUGAAGAAUUCACUAGAUGGUGGCUAAGCCUACGUUAAGAACCUAAAUUUACCAUCCAGCCUCAGAGGAAUGACUUUACGUGUCGAAGUGGUGGCUUGAGAAAUGAGGAGAGCAGAGGGGUGGAAGGGUUCAAUUACAUAAAAGAUACAGAUAUAUAAUUUUAC